UUGUUUAGCAACAGCAAACUGGUACUUGGCCAUCUUUUCCUUCAGAGAUGAUGAUCGCCUCAGCACAGAGCGACCUGAAGCAGAAGAGAGGAUCAAAUACUGCGAAGUGCUGCUCUGCCACCCUGGAAGAAUAAAACAACUGAUGGGUUCUGAAGAUCAGUUUAUGAAGGUUGUUCAAAGGCACUCUGGGCUUUUCAUAAGAGGCACGCGGGCUGGUUGGAACGUGCUGGUCAAGCUUUUCAUUCGUCAUCUCUUCCUUCUCCAUCCUUCUCUGGU